UUCAAUUUUCUGAGCAAAUCUCAUCCUAACAAAGGCAGUGGACAUUCAGGCAUAUACAGAAACUGGUGAGUUACCCACUGUUUUCCCAAUUUAAACUUCAACGGCUUUAAGAAAGGUGAAUUUUCUUUUUGCCCUGUCAC